AAGCACAGCUCUUUAAGAAUUUUUUCUAACAGCUUUUCCGACUUUGGUUGGAAAAAUCCAA
rnacentral:snRNA from 1 species